rnacentral:lncRNA from 1 species
CCAAAAGUGAAACAUUUAUCCAAGUGAGGUGACAGGUGGGUUUCCUGCUGUCCAAGUGAUGUCCACGGCAGCUGCAUGUCUCAGUCAGGUCCUUAGGAUGAGGUUAUCUGUGGCUCACUCGCUGCCUGUGCCCGCCGUCCCGGGCCCCGCCUCAAGCGUGGCGAGCUGCAGACGCACUCGGCGGGAGCCGGAGGCGGACGGCUGGGGCGUGCGGGCCGCUCUGCGCGCUGAGCGGGCAAUCGCCGAAGGCCGCAGGCCAUAGUCGCGCUCCAGCUCCUGGCGCGAGAUCUCGAUGUUGCCGGUGUACCAGAGAAUCCAGCCCAGCAGGCUCAGGAAAACCAGCAGCGCCCCGGAGUAGAUGAGCAGGUCCCCGAAGUCGCGGCCG